CUGGGAAACAGUGGCAUAGGAUUAGUGAUUAGCGACCUGGUGGUGUUUGCCACAGGACUCCUGUAGCUGGGCCUAUGAAAGUCAUUUUUUGCAGAUUCAUUUAGCUUGGCACAUGGACAGUGUUCCCCCAGGACAGAAGCUGAGAGACUUCCUCCCCACCCCCCAGGAACGGAGACACAGUUCCAAGUGAGCUUGAUCGACGCGGUCUGGACCCUUCCUGCGGGGGUGCAGGGGUAUCGACAUUCCAGCAUCUCUACCCCACCCCACCCCACCAGCCGACAGAGCCUUCAUCUGGAAGCCAAACUGUCGUCUGGCCGGUUCCGCCGAAGUCCAGUGUCGCCAUCCGAGGUGGUCCUGCUGAUUUAAGUGGUACCACGGUGCCUUCAGCCAAGCCAGGCGGCCAGCAGGACCAGAUGGGCUCGAGUAAGGAGGACAUGUCAUGUCCCUGUGUCGGGCUCCGGACCGGCGGCCACGGGAGGGGGGGGCCACGAGACGCCGAUAGGACACGUCCUCUCUGGAUGCCUGUCAGACGAACCUCGUGUCCUCACACCUCGGUGACACUUAUUAAGCAGCGCGGGGAGUCUGACGCGACGCUGUGUCACGGCACAGCGUUCAAAGUUAGGCCGGGGCGAGCGACACGGCCCGCCACCCACUGCUGCCGGAACGAUGUCACUUUCAAAGGGAUGCCGAGGAUCCUUUGGCCCAAAUACAGGAACAGGCCAGGCUGCGGAGGGCAGUGUUACAUCCGUUUGCUGUUGGAUGGACAUUUGCGACUGUCUCCACGGGUGUCCACUGUACCCUGCUUGCGCACUUCUGGCCUGUCUUACACCGGACGCCAGUCCAGCCUUGUUUGACUGCUGGUCAUCCACUGAGUGGACAGAAGACCCUCACAGUGGUAUCUAAGCCAUGUGCUUUAUGGUCAAAUUGAACCCCCCAGACAUCCUAUUCUAUCCCAUUCCCGUUUUAAUCUGCUAAAUCAAAUGCAUGUUUAUUGUUUUGUAUUAUACUAAACAUCACCCACUCUCAGAAAAAGGGGUAAAAGUUUGUACUUUUCUUUGUCACUCAAGAGUCUGCCAUUUGUACCCUUAGCUGUGGGUAAUUGUACCUUUUAAGGUACAGAAAUAAUCCAUCCUUUAUUGUCCCCUUGGGGAAAUUCUUUUUUACGCCUCCCUCAACUUGCUCUUUGUAGAGCAAACUGUUCAGAAAUGGACUCUGAGGAACAUUUCUGUACCACUGAUGGUACAUUAAUACUGUUUGAACCUUUGGGAUGUUCCUCAGUCCAUUUCUGUACCUUAAAAAGAUAUAAUUACAAAGGUACAGCCCCAGUGACAAGCAAAGGUACAAAUUUUUAUCCCUUUUUUCUGAGCAUAACAAAACAAAACAUAUUUAACAUGCAAAACAAACUCCCCGGUACCCUGCGCCCCUGAGCAGGACUGCCAGAUUGAUUAUGAAGCAAAUUACAAGAAAAUGGGCUACUUGUUCAAGAAAAGAUUCUUUCAAAUUCCCUUAACCUGUUCUUUGAAAGAUAUCUGAUUCUUCUGAGGUGCAGCACAUUUGUUAAUUCUGUAAGCCGCAGUAUAGAUGAGCGUCUCCCAACCUGGUCCUUGGGGACGCCCAAACAGUCUAUGUUUUUGCUCCCCCCCCGAUCCCUGUCAGACGGUCCACAUUUUUUCUCACUACCGGGAGCUGGGAUGGAGCAAAAACAUGGACUCCUGGGGGUCCCCUGGGACUGGGUUGGAAAACACUGGUAUAGAUAAUAACACCUUUGUCUUUAUCCAAAAUAUGAUUUUUUUUUUUUUCUCGCUGUCAUUAGUCCAUAUGAAACUGAAACGUUGCUGUGCUAUGCUUAGACCUUGCACCCGUUCAGUUAUUCCCAAAACAAUUAACAUUGUAUCUGAAUCUAUGCUCACCCCUAUAUUCACCUCUGAGAAAACCCUGAGAAUAUCUGUCCAAAAGCCUUGCAAUUUAGGGAGGGUGUGAAUUCCUCAAAUUAAGUACAAAUACUUUUUUUUUUUUGAGAGCCCAUAACUACAGCUACUGUUGAAUCAUUAACAUGCAUAAUGUUUUUUUUUUGUUGUUUUUUUUGUUUGCAGAAAAUUGCAAACCUACCUGUCUACCUUCUGGAUUUGAGAAAUCACACAUUGGGGUUGGUGGGGGCAACAGUACAUUCAAAGGGAGGCACUUUUAAUACUCAGGGCAAAUGGGGCAGGAUCCCACCACCACACCACUCGCACGUGCCUGAUCUGAAAUAUGUGACGAUAGUUUCAAAGCGGAACUGUGCGUUGAGCAUUGUCAUUUCUCUGUUCUGAACUCUGAUCUGUGAUGCUCACCUUGAUGCCAAGUCUUUGUAAAGGUGUGGUUUUGGCCAGGACACUAUAUAAAAAAAAUUAUUGAAUCAGUCCUGCCAUAUGUACCAUCUUAUAUGUACCAUCUUAUAUCUUAUAUGUACCAUCUUAUAUGUUCCAAUUAAAUCAUUAGUGUCCA